AGCACCUCUCUAGCCCAACCACCUACUCAAACUCCAUUAAAAAACCACCACAACUAUCAAACUAAAACAUUUACUGACUUAGUAUAGGCGAUAGAAAAGGCCCACUGGCGCAAUAGAGCUCCGUACCGUAAGGGAAAGCUGAAAUAAUAAUGAAAACUACAAGCAACAAACAGCAAAGAUAUACCCUUGUACCUCUCGCAUCAUGAUUUAGCAAGAACAACCAAGCAAGGCGAACUAAAGCUUGCCCUCCCGAAACCUAAGCGAGCUACCUACAAGCAGCUACCCAUUGAGCAAACCCGUCUCUGUAGCAAAAGAGUGGGACGACUUGUUAGUAGUGGUGAAAAGCCAACCGAGCUAGGUGAUAGCUGGUUACCUGCGAAGCGAAUCUAAGUUCACCCUUAAUUCUCCUCCAAGGAUACUCGAUUUAACCCCAAUGAACGAAUUAAGAGCGAUUUAAAGGAGGUACAGCUCCUUUAAAAAAGAAUACAACCUCUUGCAGCGGAUAACUCAAAGAAACUUCAACAUUGUAGGCCUUUAAGCAGCCACCAACAAAGAGUGCGUCAAAGCUCACCCACUUAAAAAUUCUAAAACGACACGACUCCCUUCAACAUAGCAGGUCACUCUAUUCUCAAUAGAAGAAUCAAUGCUAAAAUGAGUAACUUGGGAAACCCACCCCUUCUCCCUCUUAGGCGCAAGCUUACAUUUAAACAUUAUUAACACAUUCAACCGAUACUUUAACUCAAACAAGACUUAGUAUCAAAACACACCCUGUUAACCCAACUCCGGCGCGCUCUUUAGAAAGAUUGAAAUCUGCAAAAGGAACUAGGCAAUCACAAGGCCCGACUGUUUACCAAAAACAUAGCCUUCAGCAAACCAAGUAUUGAAGGUGAUGCCUGCCCAGUGACACCCACCCCAGCUGUUCAACGGCCGCGGUAUCCUAACCGUGCGAAGGUAGCGCAAUCAAUUGUCCCAUAAAUCGAGACUUGUAUGAAUGGCUAAACGAGGUCUUAACUGUCUCCUACAGAUAAUCAGUGAAAUUGAUCUUCCUGUGCAAAAGCAGGAAUAGACCCAUAAGACGAGAAGACCCUGUGGAACUUAAAAAUCAAUGGCCACCACAUACUAAAUCCCUAUCUAACAGACUCACUACUAGCAUAACACUGGCCCAUAAUUUUUCGGUUGGGGCGACCUUGGAGAAAAGCAGACCCUCCAAAAACAAGACCACCCCUCUUGACCAAGAACCACACCUCAACGUGCCAACAGCAACCAGACCCAAUAUAAUUGAACAAUGGACUAAGCUACCCCAGGGAUAACAGCGCAAUCUCCUCCAAGAGCCCAUAUCGACAAGGAGGUUUACGACCUCGAUGUUGGAUCAGGACACCCUAAUGGUGCAGCCGCUAUUAAGGGUUCGUUUGUUCAACGAUUAAUAGUCCUACGUGAUCUGAGUUCAGACCGGAGCAAUCCAGGUCGGUUUCUAUCUAUGAAGGACUCUCCCUAGUACGAAAGGACCGGGAAAGUGAGGCCAAUACUACAAGCACGCCUCUCUCUUAAGCAAUGACCCCAACUGAAUUGCCAAAAGACCAACCUACACCCCCCCCUCCUAGAAAAGGACC
rnacentral:rRNA from 1 species